rnacentral:rRNA from 1 species
AACGAACGCUGGCGGCAUGCCUAACACAUGCAAGUCGAACGAGACCUUCGGGUCUAGUGGCGCACGGGUGCGUAACACGUGGGAAUCUGCCCUCAGGUACGGAAUAACUCAGGGAAACUUGAGCUAAUACCGUAUGAUGACUUCGGUCCAAAGAUUUAUCGCCUGAGGAUGAGCCCGCGUCGGAUUAGCUUGUUGGUGAGGUAAAAGCUCACCAAGGCGACGAUCCGUAGCUGGUCUGAGAGGAUGAUCAGCCACACUGGGACUGAGACACGGCCCAGACUCCUACGGGAGGCAGCAGUGGGGAAUAUUGGACAAUGGGCGAAAGCCUGACGCAGCAACGCCGCGUGCGGGAUGACAGCCUUCGUGGUUGUAAACCGCUUUCAGCAGGGACGAAAAUGACGGUACCUGCAGAGGAAGCUCCGGCUAACUACGUGCCAGCAGCCGCAGUAA